rnacentral:rRNA from 1 species
GAUCAUGGCUCAGGAUGAACGCUAGCUACAGGCUUAACACAUGCAAGUCGAGGGGCAGCAUUUUAGUUUGCUUGCAAACUAAAGAUGGCGACCGGCGCACGGGUGAGUAACACGUAUCCAACCUGCCGAUAACUCAGGGAUAGCCUUUCGAAAGAAAGAUUAAUACCUGAUGGCAUAGGAUUAUCGCAUGAUAAUCCUAUUAAAGAAUUUCGGUUAUCGAUGGGGAGUGCGUUCCU